UAAUGAAGAGCAUAUAAUUAAAAUAAAACGUCACGACAUGAUCAGUACCAGCAGCAAGGAUGAACAACAACGGGGAAUAGAGAGAAGACACUUGGGUGAAAGUAUAAUAUAAGCUGAUGCACGUCAGUAUUAGGCUUUGGUCUAACCGACUAUACUACAGUAGGAAAUACGAAACGGAAAACUCAACAAUGCACGGCCAUUCCUAUCAAAAGUUUUUCCAGAAAGCUGGAUUUAAUAUGAAAAAAGAAAACUACUGACACUCGAACGCACGUAACUAUUUUUCUUUAAAGCACAAGCAGUUUAGUUUAUAAUUCUCUCCCUUUAGCUACGGCCCUGCUGAUUCACUCGCGAGUCGCGACACACUAUCGAAAUGUUUCACUCUGUGCUAUCGAGGCGUAACAAAGGAUCGACCAGGGGUGGAGAAGAGAAAGGGCACACACUAUUCCUUGGACAUCUGAGUUUAAGAGCUCCAGCGAAGUUAAAUCCAAUACUGUGUAGCACAAGAUGCUUGGGAAAAUAAAAUAAUUCUCCUUAAGGAUUUCAAAUAUGUAAUAUGGUGGCGCUUUCAAUGUAUGCAGUGUGUCUGUGUGUGUGUUUUUUUUUAUUGUUGUGUGUAAGAAUGCCCAUGUGUGUGUAAAUGCACGAGCAAUUGUAAGAAAAAGUAAAGGAGGGGCAAUGAGAACAUCUCGGAAUCUUAAAUUGGUGUAAAUGACGCAGCCAUGGAUGAUUUAAAGCUCGGUGCGUCGAGCCUAAUUACUUGGGAUGGGUUAGAUUGCAUUAAAUAAUGAUAGCAGUGGAGACAAGAGAAGAUUCAAAAAAUGAAACGGAAUGGAGUAGAAAAUAAAUAUUACAAUAAUUAUGUAAAUUAUGUGAAUUAAAUUAUUUUAGGACACGCAUCUCCGUUUAUUGCGAAUAAAAAUGGCGGAUAACUUAUUUAACUUUUAUUAUUAUCAUCGUAAUUAUAGUAAUAAUAAUAAGAUUAAUAAUGAUAAUAAUAGCAGUAGUAGUAGUAGUAAUAGAAUGUGUAGUAUUAAGUGUAUUUAACUUGCGUUUUACGAACCCGCGUGCGUGUAUUUGACUGACGUCUCGCGAUGCAUACCUUUAAACGCAUGUAUAUUUCCGGUUAUGUAAUCAAAAGCGCAGAAAUUUUAGCCCCAGUCGAUUUAUUAGUAAGGUUAUUUUUUUAGUUCGUGGUUAUAAAAGGUCGCAGUAGUGGUAGUUGAGAAAAGUUGGUUAGGUAUUAAAGCUAAGAAGUGUAUAAGUAAAGAAAAAGAGAGAAUAGUUGUUCGCAGUCGCGUAUCGUGGAUUCGUGGCGCAAGUAAUGUAAGGCCUCGUGCAUUAUAGUGGGAGAGCUAGGUCGUAGGCCUCGGAUCAAAGGCACCAGCAACCUGACGCGACUGCGGGAUACGACCACCACGAUCAACACCAUUAAAUUCAAUUAUUAUUAUUAAUAAUAAAAUUGUUGCUGUUGCCAUUUAUCUGGACAUUUUAAAUCUAAAUCUCACUGGCAUGCCAAAGUUUUUUCGUAAAUUUAUUUAAAAGUAAAGACACAGAUUAUGAUAAAGAUAAAAAAAAGUGUACACAUGAAACGAUCGGUCCCCAUUGAUAUAAAUUUCAUUAUCCGAUCAUGUCACAGUCACACAGAACAAACUUACAUUGCGAAUAAAGACAGGAUUUAUCUCUUUCUCACUCGACACGAGACGACGUACUGCCUCUCACUAUCGCGUUGUCUUUAUCUCUUGCCUGCAAUUCUCUUACUCAUUAUUAUUAAUUCUACUAUUACUGUUAUUAUUAUUGCUGCUGUUGUUGUUGUUGUUAUAUCCACACAUAUACAUUCGAAUUUCCACACGUCAUAACUCAAGUAUUUGUAAUGUAAAACACUGAGAUUUUAAAUUACAUUCGCCUUCAAAAAUUUAAUUUCACCAGCUUGAUAAAUUUUUUUUUCACCGGUCAUUGACAACUAGUACGUCCCCACACCGGAUUUAUCAUUAUUAUUUUUCUUUAGACAUUCUUUCCCAAUGAAACCAACGGUGCGAUGAUUUUUUGGGUGAUUCAGCGGUUGCGUUAAUUUUGUAAUAAAAAUAGGGGAAAAACAAUACGAGGAAUUGUCCAAUGGAAAAUGAAUAAAUGAUUAAUGCAUGCAUGCAUGCAUACGUACUUACAUAUGUAUACGUACAUACAUAUAUGUAUAUACAAUAUAAUAUACAUAUACGUAUUUAUAGUAUGUAUGUAUGUAUUUACAAUGUACAGAGAUAGAUAGAUAGAUAUACAUGCAUAUGUAUGUGUGUAGGUAUAUAAAUAUAUAUAGGCUGAAUUUAAACGAUGGAAUGAAUGAGGGCCUGAUGAUGGCAGUGAGUUGAGGAAGGCAUACUGCGAUGCUAACGAAAGGCCGCCCCUCGUGCGCAAUGGAAAUGGAUGGAGGAAGAGAAGGAACGAACGAAGAAAAAAAAAAAAAGUACAAAGUAGGAUGUGUGUAAGUGUGUAUAAAAAGAAAAUGGAGGAUUGAUGGUGGAUGUAAAGAUGAUGAUGAUUUAAAAUAUAAAAGUUACCUCUGA